rnacentral:rRNA from 1 species
GGUUAAGCGACUAAGCGUACACGGUGGAUGCCCUGGCAGUCAGAGGCGAUGAAGGGCGUGCUAAUCUGCGAUAAGCGCCGGUAAGGUGAUAUGAACCGUUAUAACCGGCGAUACCCGAAUGGGGAAACCCAGUGUGAUUCGUCACACUAUCAUUAACUGAAUCCAUAGGUUAAUGAGGCGAACCGGGGGAACUGAAACAUCUAAGUACCCCGAGGAAAAGAAAUCAACCGAGAUUCCCCCAGUAGCGGCGAGCGAACGGGGAGGAGCCCAGAGCCUGAAUCAGCAUGUGUGUUAGUGGAAGCGUCUGGAAAGGCGCGCGAUACAGGGUGACAGCCCCGUACACAAAAGCGCAUGUGCUGUGAGCUCGAUGAGUAGGGCGGGACACGUGGUAUCCUGUCUGAAUAUGGGGGGACCAUCCUCCAAGGCUAAAUACUCCUGACUGACCGAUAGUGAACCAGUACCGUGAGGGAAAGGCGAAAAGAACCCCGGCGAGGGGAGUGAAAAAGAACCUGAAACCGUGUACGUACAAGCAGUGGGAGCACAGGUUUACCUGUGUGACUGCGUACCUUUUGUAUAAUGGGUCAGCGACUUAUAUUCUGUAGCAAGGUUAACCGAAUAGGGGAGCCGGAGGGAAACCGAGUCUUAAUUGGGCGUUAAGUUGCAGGGUAUAGACCCGAAACCCGGUGAUCUAGCCAUGGGCAGGUUGAAGGUUGGGUAACACUAACUGGAGGACCGAACCGACUAAUGUUGAAAAAUUAGCGGAUGACCUGUGGCUGGGGGUGAAAGGCCAAUCAAACCGGGAGAUAGCUGGUUCUCCCCGAAAGCUAUUUAGGUAGCGCCUCGUGAAUUCAUCUCCGGGGGUAGAGCACUGUUUCGGCUAGGGGGCCAUCCCGGCUUACCAACCCGAUGCAAACUGCGAAUACCGGAGAAUGUUAUCACGGGAGACACACGGCGGGUGCUAACGUCCGUCGUGAAGAGGGAAACAACCCAGACCGCCAGCUAAGGUCCCAAAGUCAUGGUUAAGUGGGAAACGAUGUGGGAAGGCCCAGACAGCCAGGAUGUUGGCUUAGAAGCAGCCAUCAUUUAAAGAAAGCGUAAUAGCUCACUGGUCGAGUCGGCCUGCGCGGAAGAUGUAACGGGGCUAAACCAUGCACCGAAGCUGCGGCAGCGAACGUAUCACUUAAAGCGAUUCAGCGGGUUACGAUUGACGGAGCGAAGCGACGUCAAAGCGUAUACAAAGUCGAGUCGGUUUAAGGAUACGUUCGUUGGGUAGGGGAGCGUUCUGUAAGCCUGUGAAGGUGGCCUGUGAGGGUUGCUGGAGGUAUCAGAAGUGCGAAUGCUGACAUAAGUAACGAUAAAGCGGGUGAAAAGCCCGCUCGCCGGAAGACCAAGGGUUCCUGUCCAACGUUAAUCGGGGCAGGGUGAGUCGACCCCUAAGGCGAGGCCGAAAGGCGUAGUCGAUGGGAAACGGGUUAAUAUUCCCGUACUUGGUGUUACUGCG